UACGUAGGGGGCAAGCGUUGUCCGGAUUUACUGGGCGUAAAGAGCGCGCAGGCGGUCAGAUAAGUCGAAUGUGAAAGCCCCCGGCUCAACUGGGGAGGGUCAUUCGAUACUGUUCGACUCGAAGGCAGGAGAGGGAAGUGGAAUUCCCGGUGUAGUGGUGAAAUGCGUAGAUAUCGGGAGGAACACCUGUGGCGAAAACGGCUCACUGGACCACAACUGACGCUGAUGCGCGAAAGCUAGGGGAGCAAACAGGG
rnacentral:rRNA from 1 species